UUCAGGAUGAGGACUUUUAAGUUAUGGCCAGUACUGUUCAUGAAAAAAAGUCGGGUUUUGGGGCUCCGCCGCCAGCCAAGGAAGGGUGGUCUCCCUCUCUCGCCCUUCGUUGGUCCACUGAAGCCGUAGGCGCUCCCCUCCUCUCCUCUACCCCUUCCCCUCCGGUCUCCUCAUUCCAGCGCCGCCACCAGGAGUUUGGGGCGUGGGUUUUCCGUCGCCGCCUCCACGACUAGGAGAGGGUCUUCUUCUCCCCUUGCCGCAACCACGGCAAGCAGGGGAGGGGAAAGCUCCCUUCUUCCCCGCGCUGCCGCCACAGGGACCUUCGACAGGACUCGCCGCUCAUCGGACCACUCGCACCGCACCCACAACCCACGCCCAUCGCUGACCGCGCACAGCAGCUCCUCCGCCGGCAGCCUCCGCGCGUUGCCAGCCCCCCGCCAGCCCCCCGCCAGCAACCUCCACGUGUACAGUAGCUCCUCCGCCGGCAACCUCCGCACGCUGCCAGCCCCCCACCGACAACCUCCACGCGCCCCCAGCAGCUCCUCCGGGCUUCGCCGGUAGCUUUCGCGUGCCGCAACCAUCACUUACCAGCAGUCCCUGUGCUGACUUUACCUCGGUUCCGAUUUGUGUCGCUGUGGUAUGCCGAUCCAUGUGUUGAUUCAAUCUGUGUGUCGUGUUCUGGCCUUUAUCUUGUCACUGUGUUCCGGCAUACGCGCCGUUGUCACAUUCCGGCCUGCGAGCCAAUGUCAUACGCCGGUUGUGUCGUCGUUGUAUUCCGAUUGUGUGCCACCUUUUAGAUCCAUGCUGUAUUCGGCUCCGCGUCGUCACCUCCGGACCCAACUCCUCUUCGGACGGUUCAGAGGCAUCCACCCUUCCGGGUCACGACGACUCGAUCAGCUUCGCAACCAGCUCACCGCUCCAUCCGAAAGCGCCCCCCGGGGCCAGGGUACGUCGCCGUACUCAUUUCGUACUUAUUUUAUUGUCCUGUUAUUAUUCAGAUCAUUAUAUAUUCGUGGGGCUCGCCUCGAGCAUCGAGGUACCAGAGACCGGGGCAACCCGGUCGCUGGCUGCAGGUAUUGUUGACCGAAGGACUUCUGGCGACUUGGUCAACACAGGAGACAUCCCACCAUCCAGGUCAUGAUGAUGCGGUCAAUAUUCCAGACACGUCAUUCCGGCAGGUCCGUCUUCUCAGCUUCCCGACAGGAACAUAAUUGGCGCCGUCUGUGGGAACUUCGCCUGAUUUGGAAUGUGGAGAUGGAAGACGCCGGAAAAUUUUGCUAUAUUCAUGACCUUGGUGGGUUUCGACGAGCAUAUCAUAUUCGCCUCACUCCACGAGUACUCGGGAGUCGAGGAAUUGAAUUAGAUCCUCUGCUGGUUGGCAGAUUUCAAUGUGGAUGAUGCUGGCUUGAUAUUUGAAAAUUAUGAAGAACUUUUGAGUGCAUCUCAUAGCCAAGAAUCUGUUUGUUUGAAGAUGGUGGAUUAGAUCAUUUUUUUUAUAUUAGGGAGGCUAAUCGGUUGGACAAGCUCAUCGGGCUAGUUUUCAUUUUGUCAUUUGGGGUUUAAUUAUUAUGUCAGCUUCUAUGUAUCAUGUUCUGUUCUAUUAUAUAACGAAACAUGAUUAACUAUUCCUUUCUCUA